rnacentral:rRNA from 1 species
CCUACGGGAGGCAGCAGUGAGGAAUAUUGGUCAAUGGACGAGAGUCUGAACCAGCCAAGUAGCGUGAAGGAUGACUGCCCUAUGGGUUGUAAACUUCUUUUAUAAAGGAAUAAAACGAGGCACGUGUGCCUCUUUGCAUGUACUUUAUGAAUAAGGAUCGGCUAACUCCGUGCCAGCAGCCGCGGUAAUACGGAGGAUCCGAGCGUUAUCCGGAUUUAUUGGGUUUAAAGGGAGCGUAGAUGGGUUGUUAAGUCAGUUGUGAAAGUUUGCGGCUCAACCGUAAAAUUGCAAUUGAUACUGGCAGUCUUGAGUACGGUUGAGGUACGCGGAAUGCGUGGUGUAGCGGUGAAAUGCUUAGAUAUCACGCAGAACUCCGAUUGCGAAGGCAGCUUACUAACCUGCCACUGACAUUGAUGCUCGAAAGUGUGGGUAUCGAACAGGAUUAGAUACCCUGGUAGUC